rnacentral:rRNA from 1 species
AAACCAGCACCUCAAGUGGUCAGGAUGAUUAUUGGGCCUAAAGCAUCCGUAGCCUGCUCUGUAAGUUUUCGGUUAAAUCUGUACGCUUAACGUACAGGCUGUCGGGAAUACUGCAGAGCUAGGGAGUGGGAGAGGUAGACGGUACUCGGGAGGAAGUGGUAAAAUGCUUUGAUCUCUCGAUGACCACCUGUGGCGAAGGCGGUCUACCAGAACACGUCCGACGGUGAGGGAUGAAAGCUGGGGGAGCAAACCGAAUUAGAAACCCGUGUAGUCC